rnacentral:rRNA from 1 species
GAACGGGUGAGUAACACGUGAGCAACCUGCCCCGGACUCUGGGAUAAGCGCUGGAAACGGCGUCUAAUACUGGAUAUGAGACGUGACCGCAUGGUCAACGUUUGGAAAGAUUUUUCGGUCUGGGAUGGGCUCGCGGCCUAUCAGCUUGUUGGUGAGGUAAUGGCUCACCAAGGCGUCGACGGGUAGCCGGCCUGAGAGGGUGACCGGCCACACUGGGACUGAGACACGGCCCAGACUCCUACGGGAGGCAGCAGUGGGGAAUAUUGCACAAUGGGCGAAAGCCUGAUGCAGCAACGCCGCGUGAGGGAUGACGGCCUUCGGGUUGUAAACCUCUUUUAGCAGGGAAGAAGCGAGAGUGACGGUACCUGCAGAAAAAGCGCCGGCUAACUACGUGCCAGCAGCCGCGGUAAUACGUAGGGCGCAAGCGUUAUCCGGAAUUAUUGGGCGUAAAGAGCUCGUAGGCGGUCUGUCGCGUCUGCUGUGAAAUCUGGAGGCUCAACCUCCAGCCUGCAGUGGGUACGGGCAGACUAGAGUGCGGUAGGGGAGAUUGGAAUUCCUGGUGUAGCGGUGGAAUGCGCAGAUAUCAGGAGGAACACCGAUGGCGAAGGCAGAUCUCUGGGCCGUAACUGACGCUGAGGAGCGAAAGGGUGGGGAGCAAACAGGCUUAGAUACCCUGGUAGUCCACCCCGUNNNNUUGGGAACUAGUUGUGGGGUCCUUUCCACGGAUUCCGUGACGCAGCUAACGCAUUAAGUUCCCCGCCUGGGGAGUACGGCCGCAAGGCUAAAACUCAAAGGAAUUGACGGGGACCCGCACAAGCGGCGGAGCAUGCGGAUUAAUUCGAUGCA